UAAUUGCCUAUAUACCCCUCAAAACUUUGAAAAUAUCUCAUUUACUCCCUUUUUUUUUUCUUCCAAUAAACCCCUUAUAUGUUCCUCCGUUAUUCCAAAAUACCCCUACAGUUAUCAUCCAUUAAGUUAACUUGGGUUAAACGUGAGUUAAAUAUCUACCACAGUUAAAAAAAAUUAAAAUACCACUUUUGUCCUUAACUUAAGGGCAAAUAAUAAAUGUUGGUGAUGGUAGAAGGGUAUAUUUGAAAAGACCAAAAAGCAAAAUACUUUUUGUGCCCCUAACUAAAGGGCAAAUAAGAAAAGUGGCUGCUGGUAGAAGGGUAUAUUUGAAAGGGCAAAAUAGUAAUUUCAUAGAGAUAAUAGAACAGAUUUUAACUCUAGAGGUAUAUUUGAAAUAGGUUGAAACGUAAAAAGGGUAUUUUAAAUAUUAGCCUUCUAAGAGCGGUAAAUCAGAAGUCGGGAACUUUUCAGAGGUAUAUAAGGUAAAUCAGAAAGUCGGGAACUUUUCAAAAGUAUAUAAGCAAUUGCCCCAUUUAUUUAAUACAAUCAUUUUCAUACAACAAUGCCACAUAUAGAAAUUGCAACAGAGAAUAAGAGAGAUCACCUGACAGCAAUGACAAUAGCGACUAUCUAAACGUGGAUAGUGUGACGGCAACAAAGUCCAAGGGUUAGAGCAAGCGAGAGAGAGAAAUAGUGAGGAAGACGGCGACGACAUCAGCUGGCUCAGAAGCAGAGCGAUAAUGAGGGAGAGAGAGAUAUAUAGAGAGAGUAAGAGAGAGUGAAGUGAGCAUGGAUGUCGAGCUAGGGUUAAAAGUAUGAAAAGCGGUGAACCAUUCAUCGCUUAUAAAAACGGUGAAUAGUUCCUUGCUUUUAAAGGCGGUGAAUAGUUUAUCGUCUAUGAAAGCGGUAAAUCAUUCACUACCUGUUUGAUUUUUUUUAUGCUCCACAAGUUUGGGCGAAAAUCUUUUGAAUGCGGUAAAUGAUUCACCGUAUAUAUGAAUACAAUGAACCAUUCACCACCUUCAUUAUUUUUAUACCACUACCGCUGAUCUAACAUAUUUGAGGCCUACUUUUACAAAUAAAUUUUAUAGAAGACUAUUUCUAAAAUUACAUUAUUUC
rnacentral:lncRNA from 1 species